rnacentral:rRNA from 1 species
UACGUAGGGUGCAAGCGUUGUCCGGAAUUAUUGGGCGUAAAGAGCUCGUAGGCGGUUUGUCGCGUCUGCUGUGAAAACUCGGGGCUUAACUCCGGGCCUGCAGUGGGUACGGGCAGACUAGAGUGCGGUAGGGGAGACUGGAAUUCCUGGUGUAGCGGUGAAAUGCGCAGAUAUCAGGAGGAACACCAGUAGCGAAGGCGGCUCGCUACACUAUUAUUGACACUGAGGCACGAAAGCGUGGGGAGCAAACGGG